UUCUCUAAUAACAAUAAAUAAUUAUUUAUUCCCUGCAGAAUGCCAAUUGUACUGCUUCAUACUCAAAGAUCUUUCUUAAAGGAAUAAAACAUCUGUCUGUGCAUUCAGAACAUGGCUCACAAGAAGAAUUAAAACUUAUUAUACACAAUAUGGAAAGAAUGGAUGUUAUUUGCCCAAAUCUAAAGCACCAGGUACCAGACUGUGAAGUACAGGAUACGUCCACUUUCCAAUUCCUGAGACAAUUUACGAAGUUUCUUCAAAAAAUAAAAAGGUCCGACUGUUUCAGACUAAGAAGUGAAUAUCCAUUUUCUGCCUGAAGAUUUUCUUUUAGUACGAGAAGAAUCAUCUCACUACACUUGUUAUUCACCAGAAACAGUAUUUUAGUAUAAUUGUUUGUUCUUAGUUGCAGUAUGUAUUUAAAGAUUCACAAUUUUUUUGUGGGUUAUUUAUUUUAUUUAUUAA
rnacentral:lncRNA from 1 species